rnacentral:tRNA from 1 species
UAGAUUGAAGCCAGUUGAUUAAGGUAUUUGGCUGUUAAAUAAAUUCUUGUGGGUUUGAAUUCUACCAAUCUAG